rnacentral:rRNA from 1 species
UAGGGAAUCUUCCGCAAUGGACGCAAGUCUGACGGAGCAACGCUGCGUGAGUGAAGAAGGAUUUCGGUUCGUAAAACUCUGUUGUUAGAGAAGAACAGCGCAUAGAGUAACUGUUAUGCGUGUGACGGUAUCUAACCAGAAAGCCACGGCUAACUACGUGCCAGCAGCCGCGGUAAUACGUAGGUGGCAAGCGUUGUCCGGAUUUAUUGGGCGUAAAGCGAGCGCAGGCGGUUAGAAAAGUCUGAAGAGAAAGGCAGUGGCUCAACCAUUGUAGGCUUUAGAAACUGAUUAACUUGAGUGCAGUAGGGGAGAGUGGAAUUCCAUGUGUAGCGGUGAAAUGCGAAGAUAUAUGGAGGAACACCGGUGGCGAAAGCGGCUCUCUGGUCUGUAACUGACGCGGAGGCUCGAAAGGGUGGGGAGCGAACAGG